GUGCUCGCUUUAGCAACACAUAUACUAAAAUCAGAACGAUACAGAGAAGACUAGCAUGGCCCCUGCACAAGGAUGACAAGCAAAUUUGUGAAGCCCUCCAUACUUUA
rnacentral:snRNA from 1 species